rnacentral:rRNA from 1 species
GACGAACGCUGGCGGCGUGCCUAAUACAUGCAAGUAGAACGCUGAAGAGAGGAGCUUGCUCUUCUUGGAUGAGUUGCGAACGGGUGAGUAACGCGUAGGUAACCUGCCUUGUAGCGGGGGAUAACUAUUGGAAACGAUAGCUAAUACCGCAUAACAAUGGAUGACACAUGUCAUUUAUUUGAAAGGGGCAAUUGCUCCACUACAAGAUGGACCUGCGUUGUAUUAGCUAGUAGGUGAGGUAAUGGCUCACCUAGGCGACGAUACAUAGCCGACCUGAGAGGGUGAUCGGCCACACUGGGACUGAGGCACGGCCCAGACUCCUACGGGAGGCAGCAGUAGGGAAUCUUCGGCAAUGGGGGCAACCCUGACCGAGCAACGCCGCGUGAGUGAAGAAGGGUUUCGGAUCGUAAAGCUCUGUUGUAAGUCAAGAACGGGUGUGAGAGUGGAAAGUUCACACUGUGACGGUAGCUUACCAGAAAGGGACGGCUAACUACGUG